CCCUCCACGCACGAAAAGUCACGCACAACACAGCCGGUUACUUCGUUUCUCCUUCUCUUUUCUUUUUUUUGUUCUUAUUUGCAUUUCAUUAAACAUUUUAAAGUUCACCUCUUCCUUCACUGUCGCCACGUGUGUGCUUCGUCAUUCUGGGUCUGUGUGCUCUGUCCUCGUGUGUUUUUUCUCGUUUUCCUCCCACCCAAUCCACCUCGCUCCUCUACGAAUCAACC